UUCGGUGUUUUGGCUGAGAACACCCUUAAAGCUUAAAAUAAAACCUGCCUCUGGGGUGCAGGGGAGGAGAGAGGAGGACGCGAAUCACACCCGCUGCUGCCCCCCAGCCCGCCCCGUCUGUACAAUGGGAUGCUCGGGACUCGGACGGGAGGAUCCAGUGACUGCGAGCCCCGCAUUCGCCCGAUCCCAGCCUCACACCCCCAGCCAGCCCCCAGAGACCCUCCCACACUUACGAAGGAAAUGCAUGCGGCCAGGAGGAGAAUCCGCACCAGGAGGGAGCUCUACCCAGGAAAAAGAAGAAAAGGACAGAUUCAUUUGGGGUUCAGCCUCAUGCCCCCCACACCCAAGACUUUGUGGCUAAGAUAAGAGAAUCAGGCCACCUUGAGGUUCAUCAAGGUCAUCCCAUUAAAACCUCCCAAAACUCUGGAUCUCGGGACUCUGUUUUCUCAGUAUCUUCUUCCCCCUGCGAGCAUUGGACAACGGCCCAGCUCUUCCUUAAGAAACCCUGAAGGGAGAAACGCGUGCAUGCGUGUGCGUGUG
rnacentral:lncRNA from 1 species